rnacentral:rRNA from 1 species
GAUGAACGCUGGCGGCGUGCUUAACACAUGCAAGUCGAACGAUGAAGCCCAGCUUGCUGGGUGGAUUAGUGGCGAACGGGUGAGUAACACGUGAGUAACCUGCCCUUAAAUCUGGGAUAAGCCUGGGAAACUGGGUCUAAUACCGGAUAGGAGCGUCCACCGCAUGGUGGGUGUUGGAAAGAUUUAUCGGUUUUGGAUGGACUCGCGGCCUAUCAGCUCGUUGGUGAGGUAAUGGCUCACCAAGGCGACGACGGGUAGCCGGCCUGAGAGGGUGACCGGCCACACUGGGACUGAGACACGGCCCAGACUCCUACGGGAGGCAGCAGUGGGGAAUAUUGCACAAUGGGCGCAAGCCUGAUGCAGCGACGCCGCGUGAGGGAUGACGGCCUUCGGGUUGUAAACCUCUUUCAGUAGGGAAGAAGCGAAAGUGACGGUACCUGCAGAAGAAGCACCGGCUAACUACGUG